rnacentral:rRNA from 1 species
GUCGGGAAUAUUGCACAAUGGGGGAAACCCUGAUGCAGCGACGCCGCGUAAAGGAAGAAGGUCUUCGGAUUGUAAACUUUUGUCGACAGGGAAGAAAAAAGACAGUACCUGUGGAGGAAGCCCCGGCUAACUACGUGCCAGCAGCCGCGGUAAUACGUAGGGGGCAAGCGUUAUCCGGAAUUACUGGGUGUAAAGGGCGUGUAGGCGGAGAAUUAAGUCUGAUGUGAAAUGCCAAAGCUUAACUUUGGAAUUGCAUCGGAAACUGGUUUUCUAGAGUGCAGGAGAGGAAAGCGGAAUUCUCAGUGUAGCGGUGAAAUGCGUAGAUAUUGAGAGGAACAUCGGUGGCGAAGGCGGCUUUCUGGACUGUAACUGACACUGAGGCACGAAAGCGUGGGGAGCAAACGGGAUUAGAAACCCGUGUAGUCC